rnacentral:rRNA from 1 species
AUUGAACGCUGGCGGCAUGCUUUACACAUUCAAGUCGAACGGCAGCGCGGGCUUCGGCCUGGCGGCGAGUGGCGAACGGGUGAGUAAUGCAUCGGAACGUGCCCAGUAGUGGGGGAUAGCCCGGCGAAAGCCGGAUUAAUACCGCAUACGACCUGAGGGUGAAAGCGGGGGACCGAAAGGCCUCGCGCUAUUGGAGCGGCCGAUGUCGGAUUAGCUAGUUGGUGGGGUAAAGGCUUACCAAGGCGACGAUCCGUAGCUGGUCUGAGAGGACGACCAGCCACACUGGGACUGAGACACGGCCCAGACUCCUACGGGAGGCAGCAGUGGGGAAUUUUGGACAAUGGGGGCAACCCUGAUCCAGCCAUGCCGCGUGCGGGAAGACGGCCUUCGGGUUGUAAACCGCUUUUGUUCGGGAAGAAAUCCUCUGGGCUAAUACCCCGGGGGGAUGACGGUACCGGAAGAAUAAGCACCGGCUAACUACGUG